CCUGGGAACUUGUUGGAGAUGCAAAUUUGGAGGCCCCACCCCAGACUUUCUGCAUCAGAAAUUCUGUGGAUGGAGUCCAGGAAUCUGUGUUUU
rnacentral:miRNA from 1 species